rnacentral:misc_RNA from 1 species
GUUGAUCUUUUCAGGCGCUUGGCAUUCGCAUCAUGUUUGGAUGGCGGUCUGGGAGUUCAAAACUGUCAAAUGCCUUGUCUAUUGUGGAGCUUUCGGUUCAUAUGGAUUGCGAAGGAUGCAAAAAGAGGAUAAGAAGAGCAAUCUCAAAAAUGAACGGCAAGAGUUUAAUCAAAAUACACAGCAUCCUCAAUGAUGAUAAUUCUAAAUCCUAAGUUUAACUUAGCAUCUUGCAGGUGUCGAUAGCUUGGAGAUAGACAUGGAUAAGCAAAAGGUAACCGUAACAGGAUAUGUGGACCAGAGAAAGGUCCUCAAGGUUGUGAGGAGAACAGGAAGAAGGGCCGAGUUUUGGCCAUUCCCCUACGACAGUGAAUAUUAUCCUUACGCAUCUCAGUACUUAGAUGAAAGCACCUACACAACUUCCUAUAACUACUACAUGCACGGUUUCAAUGAAAGCGUACAUGGAUACUUUCCAGAUCAAGCAUACUGCACUGUUGAUGAUAAUACAGUUCACCUUUUCAGUGAAGACAACGUUCAUGCCUAUUGUAGCAUUAUGUGAUCUAAAAAACCAUAAAGUUACGUGCCAAAGCUUCUAACUUGGUCAUUUUAAUGCCAGAGAAUAACAGCUAAAAUAUACAAGAAUAUAGCAUAUAGUUAUCGACAUGUCCAAGACAGAUAUUUUACCAUAAUAACAAGAAAAAUUAAAUUCCUAUUUGGCCAUUGCCUUCAGCACAUGAUAGUUUCCUAUUGUCCAAAUCUGUCUUUGAAACCCAGUACGCUGUACUCGUUAAUUUAGAGUUGCUCGCCUUAAACACACCAUUCCUAACUACUUGUUGAUACACUAUGGCAUGGCUUACUUGAUGUGUAAUUAAUAUCUUUAGUGUCUUGGAAGCUGAUGUUUGAUAACUCGUCGAUCAUUAUCCAACUCAAAAUUGGCCGCAGAAAAAUCAGUACUGGAAAAGAAGGGGUUUAGAUCACUGAUUCCGCGUUCUUCCGCCAUGCUUUGCAAAUCCUCAACUUUCACAUCAAUGUGGGCAAGCCCUGAAAUAGAGCCAGACAUAAUUUCUUCAAAGCGCAGUGCUCUGUUCACAAGCUCUUGCAGAAGAUUGAGAAGCAUUCUAUUGUAGUCCAUCUUGUAAGUGAUGUACUUUCUGAAACUCUUUUGCAGAGCUCUUUGCACCCCAUAUUUUUGUGUUGAAAUGAAGGAAUUUAGCAGAACACGUAUUGCCAUGUCCACAUCUUCUUCUGUGACAUGCUGUCUGAGGUGCAUUCGGGCAUGUGCUUCAGACAUCCUUAUCAUUGAUUCGAUGUGCCUCACUGCAAUAGGAACUCCUUGUCCAUGCGAAGAUUCUCUCCGUAGUUCAGCAUAAACUUGUGUUAGUUUUUCCAUAUCAGAAUUAUGCAACCUUGGGAAUACAUUCAACUUAGCAUAAGUUAAGUAUUUUUUCAGCAAAUCUUGAGGAAGAAUCUCUGGAUCAGUGGGCCUAGCAGAGGCUUGGAUUCCAUCCUGGGACUCACUGAAGGACCGAUCAUCUAUAUUAGUACCCUUGGGUUGUGACUUGAAAUGACUAUCAACUACAAACCUUGCAAGCAUCUCAUCUGCAACAGGAUCAACCACAUCCUUAACAACACAGAGGAUGUCAAAACGAGAAAUGAUAGGAUCAGUCAACUCAACAUUUUGUGAAAAUGUUUUUGAGGAAUCAUAUCUUCCCCCAACAGGAUUUGCAGCAGCAAUGACAGAACAGCGAGCCUGCAGAGAAGUAACAAUCCCUGCCUUUGAUAUGCUGAUACUCUGCUGCUCCAUUGCUUCAUGGAUACUCACUCUGUCCUGAUCAUUCAUCUUGUCAAACUCAUCAAUGAGACAGAUACCCUUAUCAGCUAAAACAAGGGCCCCUCCUUCAAGGGUCCACUCUCUUGUCACUGGAUCCUUGUGCACUGCUGCUGUUAGACCUACAGCUGAAGCUCCUUUACCAGUAGUAUACACAGCCCUCUGCCCAGUCUUCUCAACAUACUUCAAAAAUUGAGAUUUUGCUGUGCCUGGAUCACCUAGGAGAAGUACAUUGAUGUCUCCUCGAAGCCGAUGCUUCCCUUCAACAUUUUUCUCUUGGCCUCCAAACAUGGCAAGAGCUAUUGCCGUUUUUAUGUCUUCAUGGCCAUAGAUUGAAGGCGCAACUGACUUGAUAAUCCUUUCUCCUAUUCUUGGAUCUUUAGCAAGCUUUUCAAUUUCUUCUUUAUCCUCCUGUGUAAGUUUGUAAGCAGAAAAGAGGUCCUGCUUCUUUGUUACAUAAUUUGCUUCAAUGACAGUGGCAAAGACAGGGAAUCCAUUCUUUGUGUUCAAUGAUAAGUCAAAAUUAUUUGUAUAUAUGCCAGUGACCUCCUGAAACAUAUCACAACAAAAUAGCAGAGGACAUGAGGAAAUAUCUAUCAAGAAACAAAUAAACAAGCAGCGAGUGCAAGAAAAGGAUUCUACAAUCUCUUCCCCAGGGCGAGCACAAUCAAUCAAAUCAUUCAACAGUAUCACUUCUUUGUAUCUUGGAAGCCGACCAGCAGGCACAAUUCCUGGGCUUUCCUGGAGCGUAAGUUUCUGGUAAUUUCUGUAAAUUGUCUGCUCAAUAUUAACAGUGAAUGGUCCUUUUGACUGGCAUUCAGGGCAAGAACCAACCUUGACUUCUGAAUAAGAAUUCUGAAAGAAUGGCCCUAAAAUUGCUCCACACUUGUUGCAAUCAUAUUUUACCUGCUGCAACUGUGGGAAUACACCAGAACGUCUGGUCACAACUCCUCCAAUUCGAAUCAUGGUGUUUAAAUGGAUCUGCCUAAUGUUUCGGAUCUGAUCAUAAACAGGUAAGCUAGUAACACGAACAUAUAUCUUUUGAUGGAUAUUCUUAUAGUUUGGAUGUAAAUUGAAGACAACAUUUCUGGCAACUUCUUCCAUAACUUCUAGGACAGAUUGAGGUGCAUCAGCAAGCCAGAUGGCAAUAUUUGGGUGUACAUAGAUGAAUUGUUUGUAAUCAAUCUCCAAGCUACAUUUAUUAGCUGCCACCAUCUCAUUAAUUAGACGUACAUAUUCAAAAUCUCCAUGUCCAUUCUUAGGAUUCACAUAUGUAAGUAGGAAUUCCUUGAACUUCUUGGCAAUAAAUCGACGCACUUCAUCUCUGGUAACCCACUCUCUAAGGGUUCCUUGGACUCGAUACAUCUCAAACUCGCCUUCAUCACCAUCUUCAUCCUCAUAAGGAUAAUCAUCAGUUUGAUCAGUCAUAGGCACAUCCUCCCUUGAAUGUCCCUGUUGUGAUCUUCCAGGUGAGCUUUGCAUACCAUCAGUAUCAUCAUAGCUUCUUUGAGAAGCUGGAGGCCUGAAAUCAGCUCUGGACCUCUUUGAAGGCCUAUAGCUGUCAUCGUCAGUAUCAUGGUCGUGGAGGAGUUGAGGAAGCUUGCGAUCAGUGAGGCGGGCAUCACGGGUAUCGAGUUCCAAAUCAGCAGCCCUUCGAUCCUGCAUAAUUUGAUCCAAAUCCCUCUCAUCCUCCAGGGAGUCAUCCAAACCAACCGACUCGUACUGGUCGUGUUCAUCCAUCCUCCGAUAGUCAUCCAAAAAAUUAUCGUUAUAUAGGUCCUCUCCUUCUUCCUCCUCUUCGGGUUCAUCGGGCUCAUCUCGGAUAAUUUGGGGAUCGACGGCAGCCUCAUCGUCGUCGGUGAAGUUCUCGGAAGUCCGGCUGGUGUUAGGAGGGAGCUGAUCUGUGUUGAAGCCAGCAGAUGUUGGCGAAUCAGGAGUGGAAGGUGGAUUUUCUGAAUUAGCAGAAGCCAUUUCUUCUGUUGAGGUUUUGGCGCGG